AAAAAAUAAAAAUUGGACCAAUCUGUCAGAAAAUUAGAAAAUCAUCAUCGAAACAUAUAAUAAACAAAACAGGAACAAUGUAUUAUAUCAUGGUGUAGCAUGUGUAUGUUUCAUCGACGGCGAUUAACUGAAUUCUCCACAAAUAAGCACAUACAAUUUUAAAUCGUCAAUUUAAAACUUCCACUCACCCCGUCUCUCGAAUUUGAUUUGCUCAUGUGGCUUCGACCACCCAAUCUGGAGCGUAAUCACGGUGAGAAGGAGUAUCAUCUUCCAAUCUUUUCAAUGGAAGUUGUUGGUUUGCAGAACGAAUGUGAGUCAUUCGUGUUUUAGGGCGGUUUUGGCGAUAUCUUCGACGGUUGCGACGGAUCUGGAACAAGUUUCAAACAGCCCCCUUUUCAAAACGAGAAUAAAAAAAGAGAAGAAACUCUGGCUACUAACCUGUUCCAUUUCUCAUAUGGUCGGCCAGUAAAACUAGGUUGUGAUGUCUCCGAAUCCGCUGCCGUUUAAAAACUCACCUGUUUCUGUGUUUCUCUAUUUCGCCGGUUGGAGAUUCAUAUCUUCACCACCCCAAAACCGCUGCAGAAGAAAGAGAUUACGAGUGUUCAGAAUCCGAUCGCCGGAAUCAUAUAAGGUAUGGAGGUGCGUCGUUCUUACCUACACAACCGGUGGAUGGAAGAGUGGCGGCGUUUGGUAGUUGACGCCGAACUAGGAGUUCUUCCCGGCGGACGGUUAUAAAAACCCGAAUUCUUCAAUUUUCAUAUGUUUUGUUAUAGGAGAGUGAAUUUGGCUCAAAUAUACGUGGUUAACAAAAUAAAAAAACAAAAUUUUGGGAAUAAAUUAUCUCUUUCCUUUUUUAAUUUUUAGAAAUAAGAAAAUUCAGAAUAUAAUAAUCUGAAUACUUAUAUUCGACAUGAGCCAUUGAUUUAAACUCCUAAAAUUUAAUGGCUAAAAUUACUAAUCGGGUGUCCUAA
rnacentral:lncRNA from 1 species